rnacentral:rRNA from 1 species
AGUCAACAUGCCCAGGGGACGUGGAUAACCUCGGGAAACUGAGGAUAAACCGCGAUAGGUCAUAAUGUCUGGAAUGAUUUAUGGCUCAAACCUAUAUGGCCCCUGGAUUGGACUGCGGCCGAUCAGGCUGUUGGUGAGGUAAUGGCCCACCAAACCUAAAACCGGUACGGGCUCUGAGAGGAGAAGCCCGGAGAUGGGCACUGAGACAAGGGCCCAGGCCCUAUGGGGCGCAGCAGGCGCGAAAACUCUGCAGUAGGCGAAAGCUUGACAGGGUUAUUCUGAGUGAUCUCCGUUAAGGAAAUCUUUUGGCACCUCUAAAAAUGGUGCAGAAUAAGGGGUGGGCAAGCCUGGUGUCAGCCGCCGCGGUAAUACCAGCACCCCGAGUGGUCGGGACGAUUAUUGGGCCUAAAGCAUCCGUAGCCGGUUCUACAAGUCUUCCGUUAAAUCCACCUGCUUAACAGAUGGGCUGCAGAGGAUACUAUAGAGCUAGGAGGCGGGAGAGGCAAGCGGUACUCAGUGGGUAGGGGUAAAAUCCGUUGAUCCACUGAAGACCACCAGUGGCGAAGGCGGCCUGCCAGAACGCGCUCGACGGUGAGGGAUGAAAGCUGGGGGAGCAAACCGGAUUAGAUACCCGGGUAGUCCCAGCUGUAAACGAUGCAGACUCGGUGAUGAAU